AACGCACAUUGCGCCCGCCAGUAUUCUGGCGGGCAUGCCUGUUCGAGCGUCAUUUCAACCCUCAAGCCCCAGCGGUUUGGUGUUGGGGACCGGCGAGUACAGAGGCUUUGGGGACUUUGUCCCCCUUCCCUCGGCGCCGCCCCCGAAAUGAAUUGGCGGUCUCGUCGCGGCCUCCUCUGCGUAGUAGCACAACCUCGCAUCAGGAGCGCGGCGCGGCCACUGCCGUAAAACGCCCAACUUUUUUUUUUAAGAGUUGACCUCGAAUCAGGUAGGAAUACCCGCUGAACUUAA
rnacentral:misc_RNA from 1 species